rnacentral:tmRNA from 1 species
CUCUUGAAACUACCUCAAGGUUUUAGAAAGUUGGACCAGAGCUAGUUUUAAGGCUAAAAACUAACCAAUUUUCUAAGCAUUGUAGAAGUUUGUGUUUAGGGCAAGAUUUUUGGACUGGGGUUCGAUUCCCCACAGCUCCACCA